UUCACAAGUCACUGAUAGCAAUUUGAGUUAUGCCCCAGUUUGGAAUAGGUCUGCAUCAUGGAGGUCUAAAUGUUAGAGAUAGAUCCUUGGUCGAGGAACUCUUUUCAAUCAACAAGAUUCAAGUGUGCUCUUCAUUGAUAACAUGUUCUUUGCUACACUUGAGUAUUGGUAUGCACUAGCACACUGGCUUGGGGUGUCAAUCUUCCAUCUCACCUUUUCAUAAUCAAGGGUACUGAAUAUUAUGGUGAGAAAACAAAAAGAUAUGUUGAUUAUGUUAUCACGGAUAUUCUGCAAAUGAUGGGUAAUGCUGGCCGACCACAGUAUGACCAACAUGGCAAAGCUGUUAUUCUUGUUCAUGAACCAGAGCUUUUAUAAGAAGUUCCUAUAUGAACCGUUUCCUGUCGAAAGUAAUCUGAGGGAGCACUUGCACCUUUACUUACCAAAUUUUUGUACUCCGAUGCCUCUAUGGCCAAACCAGUAGCAACAGCAAGAAGGACAAGCAACAACGAGGAUACCUUUCUAUGAGUCAUUUUCAAUAUUUACUUGCUGUAGGUAAAGGGCAUAGAUUCGACUUACUAUGUCUGUUACGAACAGAGUUCCCUGGAAAUGUGUCAAAGCAAAUAGCUGAUAACCGGCAAUUUUCCACCAAUGGAAUCCCGCGUGAUUUAGAAAACCAUGGACAAAUUUACCCUUGAGCUCAGCCCAAACGGGGAUGAACUUGAGCUGACAAGCCAGCCGCUGCCGCCGUCGCCGCCCCUGCUUCCCCGGCUCCCCGCCCCCCCACCCCCUCGCCCCGCUGCUCCCCAGCGCCCCGGCUGUCCCACUGCCGCCACCACCCUGCUUCUCCCCAACACGCACGGGCGCGCGAACGGCAGCAGCGGCCGCACAUGGACGUGAGCAGCGGCGUCGGCCGCGCACGGGAGUGAGGAGGAGCGGCAGCGGCCGCCGCACACGAGCGCGAGGAGGAGCAGCAGUGGCUGCGAACGGGCGCGCACGGGCACGAGCAACAGCGGCGGCGGCCGCGCACGGGCGUGAGGAGGAGAAGUGGCGGCCGCCGCCGCACACGAGCGCGAGGAGGAGUAGCAGCGGCCGCGCACGGGCACGAGCAACAGCGGUGGCAGCCGCGCACGGGCGUGAGGAGGAGCAGCGGCGGCGGCUGCCGCGCACGGGCGCGAGGAGCAGCGGCGGCGGCUGCCGCGCACGGGCGCGAGGAGCAGCUGCAACGGCCGCGCACGGGCGCGAGCAACGGCGCCGGUCGUGCACGGGCACGACCAAUAGCGGCGGCGGGACCGCCACCGACGAGAACCACCGUGGGCUCCUGGAAGGUAGCCGCCGCCCGCCAUCUCCUAGCCGCGAGCGAGGAUGAACACGAGCGUAUGAGCACCUCUGUCUUUCCUGGUCACUGUAGUCGGCAGGGGUAAGUUGGUCAUUUCAGGUGGGACCCAUCUGACAGAGGGCAAAAUAUCAAAGUCCAAACUAAAGAGUGGCAAAUGAUCAAUUACAAAGUAACUAGUGGCAAAAUGUCAAAGUGCAGAAUAAAUGGUGGCAAAUGAUCAAAAACCCCUUAAAUCACACCAUCAUAUUUGUAAGGCAGGUCAUGUGGCUCCCUAUUUUAUCAUGUCCAUGUCUUGAGUUAACUUGAUUGCUUGAAACAAACCUACAUCAUCAGAAGUUCAAAACUGAACCUGUAUAAAAAUAUCGUUUAAAGGAAAUAUAGUGCUGUAGAGGUUAGACUUUGUUGAGCCACAUGUGUUGAAGUUUGUGUAUAACUAUGUCAUGUAAAUGGAAUAGUCUUAAGUAGAGGUUUACCCUCGAUGAGCUACAUGUAUUCAAUAUGUUGUACUGAUCGUCCGUUUUCUUUGGUGCAGCGUUGACUGAGCCUAUUGAUGUGUAACUUGAAUCCAAUGAAGAACUCUUUACUCUAUAAAGUUGGCGCAACUACGUUAGUCUUAUCCGGACCUGGAACUAAGGAUUGAAUUCUUUUUUCUGCAGAUACAGUGAAUAGGUCGACAAGUGCGAGCGCGUCAACACUGUCAACGAUAACGAUGGUGGGUCGACUUGCAAACGAAAUAGUUACUAUUAUGACUGUAUUGCAUUGGUGUUAUGGCUGCCACCUUCAGCUACUGUGGGUUCCACCACGCCCAGGUGUGGCCAUCUCCAUUGCCUUUCUCUGGAUUCACUGCCCCUCUUGGUUUCUGAUUAUUGUUUGUUCUCAUAUACUCUCGAAUUUCCAUGAGUGCGAUCUAAUGAAUGAGUAUCCCGUGUCUAUGGCAACUCGCAUGGCCUGAUCCGGAAGUACGGGUGUGCUACAUGCAUUGCUUCCACACCAACGCCAAGGACAUUGGAUUCAUCAAGUUAUGAGCCACCCCACUGUUUAUUGAUUCCCUGAAUCAUGUGCCUGAGUAUGAUGACUGCUGAGUAGUAAUAUGUUACCCCAUGCUUUGCUUUGAACAAUAUAUAUGCUUUGUCUACAAGGCCUCUUGGUAUGGCGCACCAGUUUUAAUUUGUUGGAGACUACCAUCUGGUAGUGUGAGUUAUUGCAUAAUGUAGUGUAAUGUAUGAAAUAUUAGAUUCAGUUAUUCAGGUUAAGUUCUGUGAUCGUCACCUCAUGUUCUGCCUUGCAUUAUUUUGUAUCUGUUUGAUGAAGGUUUAAUUUCUAAGCACUAUAAGGCAUCUUGGAAUGGACCGAGUUGUGCAUGACUACAUGAUAUUAGCUAUUUUUGUUUGCUGUUCACACCUAUAUAAGUCUUACUCUGGUGCAUCUAUCUCCAGUCUCAGCCAUUUUCACUAACCGUCACCUACCAAGUUUUUUUCUCAGCAUACCAGUGCAUUUCAAAGAAGAACAAAUUGAGUGUAUUGCAAUUGCUCAAAUAUUUAUUAAGUAGGUAUAUAUACAUUGUAUAUAUUUAUUUCCUGAAUAACGAUGAUUUAUUAGAAAUUGAGAUGAUUUUCCUUUUGAAGAAUGUUGUUUUCAUUUCUCCACUUUUAUCUCAUUAAUUGUAGGUUUUAUGCUUCGGUUUUUAGGUUUGGGUGAAUUAUUUUUCAGAUGCAUAUGUUGUGUCUGAAUACAUGAAUGUCUGUGUGUAGCUAAUUUCUUGUAUUCUUGUUCUUUUGUAUCAUCCCAAUCUUUUUAUACCGGUAGUGAUAGUUGCAUUUGCGCACUUGUUUAACAGUACCAUUAAGAAUGGAAACCUCAAAGGAAGCAAGGACUAGGAAAUUAUCAUCAAACUAUGGUGUUUCAUCGAGGCCGACCUUUAUCAACAAUGAAGUAAUUGUGCCUGGAAAUUGCUUUGAAAUUUUCAAUGCUUUGGGCCUAACUCAUGUUAUAAUUUUGCUGGUAAACCACAUGAUAUUGUUUUCCAGUCGCAUGUUUUUCCUGCACAAACCAUACAAAUUUUAUGAGCUUGCUUCACUACUAUAUGCAAAGGUAUCAUCUAAAAGGAAUUAUGGGUUUCAGAUAGGCUCCAGUUUUAUCGCUUUUCAGUAUAUGCAUGCCAGGCGGCUGUACCCACAUUAGGGACAAAAACUUGUUUUUGGCUCACGCCUAGCUGUCCAUUGUAUGGAUCAUGCACCUAUUCCAUCUGCCAAAUCAUAUUUCCAGGGUUUACCCUCUUGCUUGCAUUUCCACUCGUCUACUUUAUGGAUUAUUCAAUCUUAUUAGUUUAGUAUAUAAACUGGAUGUCCCAUGCUUGGUAGGAGAUACAUAAUAAGGGAAUUGAGGCAAAGCAGUUGAAAUUUAAGAACGUCGUGUCCUCCUAUUACUUUGAUCAAUCUGCAGUACAAUUUAGCCUAUGAGCCAAUACCAUCAAGGAUUCGCCCAAAGGGCCAAAGCUUAGGACAAUAUGUUUUGUUUACACAUGUUUCUUCAUCUCCAACUCAAAAACUUACGGAAGAGUGUUUUACAUUAGGUGCUUCUCUGUCCAGAUACGUGGCCACCACAUCGCCAUCAACGUCGACGGCGUUCUGGAAGCGUUGGGGCAGCAGGCCAUGCCUUGCCCAUGUUGUCGCUGAUGAUCCACCUGGACGAUGGCCGACUGAGUUGCUGUGUGGGAACUACAUGUUCGAGGACCACGGCUUGAGCACUGUGUUUCUUAUCUCUGUUUGAACUAUGUGUGCCGUACAAUGCUCUAUUUUUGAAACCUUGUUUUCAGUUCCUUUUGAAAAAUUAUUAUCUCUGUUAUCAUUGAUUUUUAGUGUCUA